GAGAGGAACAAACGAGAAAACGAAUGAUAGGAAUCUGACUGGGAGAGGCCAUCAAACGCCUCCGGAUCCCAGCAGACGGGAAUCGUCUUACCUUGCACAGCAUCAGGAGGAACAUAGCAUCGGACAUGCUGAGCGGGACCGUCUUUCUGAAACACACACACAUCCCUGGCCGUAUCCCAUCAUCCUUUAGCUGGGAGGGAGUUCCAGAUUGAUGGAGAGAGGCUGUGUUUUCUCGCGGCACUCCAGUGUUUUCCUGCCCAGUUUCAUCUCACUUGUUCCCGAGUUGAGCUGUCAUGAGCUCCUCGUGCAAAACACUGUCUCUCUUUUUUUCUUGUGUGGAUGAACAGAUGAGAGAGGGUGGUUCAGUUACCGGCGGUACCUCUUUUUAUUUAGCCAAAGCCCC